rnacentral:rRNA from 1 species
CUAGCCGUAAACGAUGUAGACUUGGCGUUGGUGGGGUAAAAUCCAUCAGUGCCGAAGCAAACGCGAUAAGUCUACCGCCUGGGGACUACGGCCGCAAGGUUAAAACUCAAAGGAAUUGACGGGGCCCCGCACAAGCAGCGGAGCGUGUGGUUUAAUUCGAUGAUACACGAAGAACCUUACCAGGGUUUGACAUGCUGGUGGUAGCGAACUGAAAGGGGAGCGACCCUUCGGGGAGCCAGCACAGGUGC